rnacentral:rRNA from 1 species
UACAGAGGUCUCAAGCGUUGUUCGGAUUCAUUGGGCGUAAAGGGUGCGUAGGCGGCGCGGUAAGUCGGGUGUGAAAUCUUGGAGCUUAACUCCGAAACUGCAUUCGAUACUGCCGUGCUUGAGGACUGGAGAGGAGACUGGAAUUCCUGGUGUAGCGGUGAAAUGCGCAGAUAUCAGGAGGAACACCGGUGGCGAAGGCGGGUCUCUGGGCCGAAACUGACGCUGAGGAGCGAAAGCGUGGGGAGCGAACAGG